CCUACGGGUGGCAGCAGUGAGGAAUAUUGGUCAAUGGGCGCGAGCCUGAACCAGCCAAGUAGCGUGAAGGAUGACUGCCCUACGGGUUGUAAACUUCUUUUAUAAAGGAAUAAAGUGAGGCACGUGUGCCUUUUUGUAUGUACUUUAUGAAUACGGAUCGGCUAACUCCGCGCCAGCAGCCGCGGUAAUACGGAGGAUCCGAGCGUUAUCCGGAUUUAUUGGGUUUAAAGGGAGUGUAGAAGGUUUGUUAAGUCAGUUGUGAAAGUUUGCGGCUCAACCGUGAAAUUGCAAUUGAUACUGGCAGUCUUGAGUACAGGUGAGGUAAGCGGAAUUCGUGGUGUAGCGGUGAAAUGCUGAGAUAUCACGAAGAACUCCGAUUGCGAAGGCAGCUUACUAAACUGCCACUGACAUUGAUGCUCGAAAGUGUGGGUAGCAAACAGGAUUAGAUACCCGUGUAGUC
rnacentral:rRNA from 1 species